rnacentral:lncRNA from 1 species
ACUUCACGUCAUCCGCUCUUGUGAGGCCUGCCGGGCUGCUCUGUGAUCUCGGGGCUCCCUGGAUGAAGGAACCUACCGAAACCCCCUUGUACUCACGAUCAGUCGCUGCGGUUCUGGCUGGGACAGCUCCAAAGCAGCAAACCUCAGCAUCGCUGAGCUCUGCUCUCUGAUGACUGCAAUGGGAUCUGAGGGAACUGCAUGAAGCUGCAACAGUCUGUAUCUCUUGACCUGAAGGAGAGCUGAACAAUCUAGUAUGCCUCCCAUUCCUUUGUGGUUACCACAGUAUUCAGCUGCUUCUGCCCUUCCCUACAGCAUGAGUGUCCAACCUUUUAGCUUGCCUGCGCUGCAGUGAGGAAAGAGGAAUUGCCUUUGGCUGCAUUUAUCAAGUGGCUGUGCACAUUCAUUAAGGAGAAGUAUCUAGAUCUCAAAAAGAUCACA